rnacentral:lncRNA from 1 species
UAAAAUAGCUCCAGUUUUUUCCUUCGGAUGCGUUCCAUCUGCAGAUAGUACAAGAUUAAGCAGGCACUGCUAUGUUUUAAUUGGUUACAGGUAAUUUAUUUAUUUUGCUAUAGACUAUAACAGCCCAAAGCAACAACACAGCGACAUCUAAAUACAAUUAGUAAGGCACUAGGCAAGCACUCAGUUGGCUCUGUGCUACAUGGAGAGCUAUGUGACCAGAGGGAGUUGCUAACACCACAAACGCAGAGAGCAUUCUGCCCACUGUAAACCCUAAACAUUUUCCUCUCUACUCUUCUUAUGCUUUGCACCAUUUUCUGCUCUGCCAAGAGGGUGGGAAAAAAGGAGAGGAGAACUGGCAGAUUUUAUCUGCUGGUGUUAUCAGGGUUUUAGGUAAGAGUUCAGUUAGAAGUAAUCACGCUGGAUGUUUAAAUCCUGUUUUGCAAUUUAACAGUCAGGAUGAUUUAAAACAGCAGAGAUCAUCCCCAUUCAAUGAGCACUUGGGGUAUUUCUAAGCUUUAGCACAACUGAGCUAAACAUCCCCUGCUGUGCGAAUCUUCUUUCCAGCUCCAAUGUUUCUGCUGAGAUGCUUCUAAAUGGGACUGUAAACUUACCCGAGCACAAUUAUUCUGCAUUUAAUGCCAUUCCUUAAAGAUGUGGUUAUGAAAGAGCCUGACUUGCUUCUUGUUUCCUCUUUUAUGCCCAAACACUGCUUGGUCUACAGCAGCUCACCCUGAGACCCCUCCAUGCACUCUCCUUGGUACGGUGCAGGCAGCCCCAGGAGCUGCAGAGCAGCUGGGAGAGGAAACGGCGGUCCGGCAGUGCUCCCUGAGCACCGCGUUGUAAGUGGAGAUGUGAAAUGCAACUGUAAAUAUUGUGAGGCCUCAGCCAUUCCAGUUUGGUACACAGGGUGUGAGUCACCGGUUGCUGCACAGUGCCUGUGUUUGCGGCGUGUGUCAGCGCAAUGGGAGAAGGCAGAUGAUACCGCUAUUAUGUGAAACCGCUGCCACCCACUGCAGUGACUCACACGGCGUCACCCAACAGCAUUUACAUCAGCUUCAAAAUACAUCUCCGUUACCCGUGCCCGUCUCAGCAGGUUAUUUGUUUCCUCCUCCCAGUCCUUCUCAGGUUGAUGACAACAGGGCUGUGUGCUUUUACUGGGGGUGGCACAGGGCUGCACUAUCUUAAAGCACUGAUGGAACGCAACUGAGCCCUCAUCUCUGUUUGCCUCUAAGUGCCAGUCUGUAAACAGCGAAGAUUCAGGGGCCGGUAUCCUAUGAGAAGGACCAGACAGUCUCACUGGUCACUGCUGACGUUUGCUACUGCUCUGUGCACCUGUGGGCCAGCAAAGUGAAGGGGGAAGUGGGUCAGAUCUGGGAGGGAGCACUUGGCUGGAGCAGCCAGCUGCUGCCUAGUGGCAGCGUGACGUCUUACAACCGGUUUGGGCCUGGUAAUAAUAUUAAAUAAUUAAUUGCGUUCUUAUUUCUUUGAGGAAGUUAACUCAAUUAUUAGUUUCCUGGUUCUCUGUCAUACUUUGUGUGCAAAGGGACGUUUAAAUGCAUUUGAGUAUUUGGGUUUGAAUUAACUGAAAUCAGAAUUGGAACAUGGCUGGAAAUUUGGCAUUCUGGCUCUGUGCCUUAUUUCUCAAAUCCAGAGAAACGGAGUAUUCCAAUGUUGGAUUGCUGCCUGAGUAAAUAUAUCCAUAUUGGAUACAGCAUAUAAAAGUAAAAAGACAAAAACACCUGUCAAAAAUUCUCAGAACACAGGGAAACUCCUGACACAGCUCUUCUAUCCUUGUGCAGUGACAAGAGCUGGUUCCCCAUAUGGAGCAGUGGGAGAGCAGUGCUGUCAGAGGGGGCUGCUGUCACCCCCAGGCAGCAGCAGCUCCUCAGCUGCCCCAUCCUGAGAGAGUUGCUGGACCAUCUGUCCGUCUGUCCGGCUCCGGAGACACCAGAGCUCCAGGACUGUGUUUAAUAUUUGCUUUCACCAUUCCCCCGUUACUAAUAACUGAUAUGGACAGACCUCAGGUACAGCUCUGUCUGAAGGCACAAAGAAGAGUCCUUUGAGAGAGGCUCCUCUCACCCACGCUCUGACCCAGACAGCACUCUCUGAAGUGUGGCAUCUUACAGGCGUCUCACACUCCCCAAAUUCUCCACAUUCUUUAUUAGACAUUCUCCAUGCAUCACUCUCCCUCACAAGUACCUAAUUCCAUGUCAGUUUUUAACAGCCAGAAAGCUUUCUAUUUAUUUUCUUAAGCCACUUUUUGACCUUCAG